AGAAGCUAACCAUUAACCAAGUCCCCCUCCCCCCUUGUUUCAGGGAUCUUCGUGUACGCAUAAUUUCACUCAUUUAAGCCUUACUCAAUUAUAAAAGACUGUUGGAAGGGAAAGAGCGUCUCAGCGUGCUGAAAUGAGCAUAAGACUUGGAGUCAGAGUGUUCUAGGUCAGAAUCCUACCUCUGCUGCUUUCAAAGAGUCACUGAGCUUCUCUGGGCCCCAGCUGCCUCUUCUGCAAAAUGGGGUGGAUUAAAUAACCAUACCAUUUUUGUAAGUUCUUUCAUUUCUACUAAGGAAAGAACAAGGAAGAUUUUAAAUGGCCAUAGAAAACAAACUGUUGAGCACUUCUUAAGUUGGGACUAGACCACCUAGGAAAAGUCAAGGAAAAGUAUAAGUUACUAUCAUUAAAGAGUGGCACAAAGUUAGUGCUGCCUGGAGACUGAGAGAUGCGCCCUGUUACUUUCUGGAAGGCCAGACUGUGGGAAGAAUGCGCGCCUGGAAGCCCUGCACAUGGACGAGGGAACCUGUUUUACCACUUUACCAGCUGAGCAACCCCAGGAAGAGUACACAAAGUAAACCAAAGAUUUAAUCCCUGCCGAACUGUCUGGAACUUUCCUGCAAACCAACACACUGAUUCAGUUCAUUACUGCGAAUUCUCCAAACUUCACAAAGAAAGUCUGUACAAAACAGCAGUAGCCAGCUGCGCUUCAUGUGCAAUCAGCAUGCUAUCCCAUUCAUCAGUUACACAUAAUGAGCAGUUACGGCUGCAGCUGGGUGACGAUGAUGAUGAUGCUAUAUAGCGACAGUGAUGAUAUAGAGUGCAGCAAGCGGCUCUCCUGACAGUCUCGGACGGCCCAGUGACUUCUCCGGGAUGCAGGACACCAGAGCAGGCACAUCAGGCACAACUAAAGACAUGAGAGAAGACUUCCAGAACUGCCUCGGCAGUGGUAAGAACAAUGGAGAGUGAACUCAGUGCCCAACGCAGCUAAGGAGGUGACAUGGCUGACCUACACCCCAGCCUCGAUGGCACAGAAUCCUUAAGAAGUAGGGCCUAGCGGAAGGUCCAUGGGCCACUAGGGCACUGCACUCAAAAAAGAAUACUGGUCUCCACGAGUGAGUUUGCUGCAGAAUGAGUUGUUUCCGAAGCCUGACCCUGACCUGACCCUCUCCUGCUUCCUGUACUGAAACGUGGCCUUUUGCUCCCUCACACACCAGCACUGUUGGGCCAUGCAGUCCUCAGCGCAGGCUGAACCAAGAGGGCUGCCCAACCUUGGACUUCCAGCCUCCGAAGCUGCAAACUAAAUA